rnacentral:rRNA from 1 species
GACGAACGCUGGCGGCGUGCUUAACACAUGCAAGUCGAACGGAAAGGCCCUGCUUUUGUGGGGUGCUCGAGUGGCGAACGGGUGAGUAACACGUGAGUAACCUGCCCUUGACUGUGGGAUAACUUCAGGAAACUGGGGCUAAUACCGGAUAGGAGCUCCUGCGGCAGGGUGGGGGUUGGAAAGUUUUGGCGUGUGGGGUUGGCCUCGCGGCUUAUCAGCUUGUUGGGGGGGUAGUGGCUUACCAAGGCUUUGACGGGUAGCCGGCCUGGGAGGGUGACCGGCCACAUUGGGCCUGAGAUACGGCCCAGACUCCUCCGGGAGGCAGCAGUGGGGAAUAUUGCACAAUGGGCGGAAGCCUGUUGCAGCAACGCCGCGUGCGGGAUGACGGCCUUCGGGUUGUAACCCGCUUUCGCCUGUGCCGAAGCGUGAGUGACGGUAAUGGGUAAAGAAGCACCGGCUAACUACGUG